rnacentral:rRNA from 1 species
UGGGGAAUAUUGGACAAUGGAGGAAACUCUGAUCCAGCAAUUCUGUGUGUGUGAAGAAGGUUUUAGGACUGUAAAACACUUUUAGUAGGGAAGAAAAAAAUGACGGUACCUACAGAAGAAGCAACGGCUAAAUACGUGCCAGCAGCCGCGGUAAUACGUAUGUUGCGAGCGUUAUCCGGAAUUAUUGGGCUUAAAGGGCAUCUAGUCGGUAAGACAAGUUGAAGGUGAAAACCUGUGGCUCAACCAUAGGCUUGCCUACAAAACUGUUGAACUAGAGUACUGGAAAGGUGGGUGGAACUACACGAGUAGAGGUGAAAUUCGUAGAUAUGUGUAGGAAUGCCGAUGAUGAAGAUAACUCACUGGACAGCAACUGACGCUGAAGUGCGAAAGCUAGGGGAGCAAACAGG